rnacentral:ncRNA from 1 species
GAAAGCCGUAUGAUGGGAAAGUAUCACGUACGGUUUGGAGGGCAGUAUCAAAUAAGUACAUAGAGCUCAACUAGAC